GUAGGCGUCCACAACUAUGUUCUGCCUCCGCACCCUCCGAUCGCCCGCCGCGUCCGAUUCCCCUGACCCCGCCUCGCCCGCAAUCUCCGCCGCCGCGCCCGCGACAUCCAUCACCCCCACCCGCGACAUCCCGCCUCGCACGCCAUCAACUCGCAGCGGCCCUUCUCCGAACGUGGUUUGUUUUUUCGUUUGCUCGAGCAGCCAGCCGACUCGUCUCCAGCAAUGCGGCCGGGGUCGGCUCGCUGGAGGUGGGCGUCGCCGCCGACACCUCCAACGCCUCCAGGCAGGGAUUAGGUGAGCCGUCGGCUAAUCACUCGUCAUUGGGAGGAUCUCCUCCUCCCGUUCAGAUUUGGGCAAGAAAGGCCCGGGCGCGAUGUCCAUGGCCGAGGAGGGGAGUGAGGCCGAGGAGGGGAGUGAGGCCGAGGCGCUCGAGAAAGACGGCAGCAAGGCUUCUUCACCUUCGGGGCCAGGUAAACACCACGGGCAAGGGCGCAAAGCAUCGCGUGUUGUUGUUUCGAGAUGUGUGGGCAUGGCCGUGCUUUCCCUUCCGUUGGGGUCAAGCUGACCGGCCUCGUGUGCCCCGUACUCCCACCGCCGUCCUGCACGCAAAUCCCAAAAAUCAGAUAAAAAGACUGGUUUUUCUCCCCGUUCUCCUUUUCCCCCCACUAAUCGAUUAGGUUCUUAGUUAGGCGUUCCUGCCGCUCUUCUUCCUCCCGUGUCGUCAGAGGAAGCCGCGAAAAGCACGCAGGAAUCAGGUGAGAAAGCAACCACUCAACUCCAACUUCCAGCUUUACUGCCAUUAGUAUUGUUUCUCUACUACUCUAUAAGCCUGUAGUGUAGGCGUCCACAACUAUGUUCUGCCUUCGCACCCUCCGAUCGCCCGCCGCGUCCGAUUCCCCUGACCCUGCCUCGCCCGCAAUCUCCGCCGCCGCGCCCGCGACAUCCAUCACCCCCGCCCGCGACAUCCCGCCUCGCACGCCAUCAACUCGCAGCGGCCCUUCUCCGAAUGUGGUUUGUUUUUUCGUUUGCUCGAGCAGCCAGUCGACUCGUCUCCAGCAAUGCGGCCGGGGUCGGCUCGCUGGAGGUGGGCGCCGCCACCGACACCUCCAACGCCUCCAGGCAGGGAUUAGGUGAGCCGUCGGCUAAUCACUCGUCAUUGGGAGGAUCUCCUCCUCCCGUUCAGAUUUGGGCAAGAAAGGCCCGGGCGCGAUGUCCAUGGCCGAGGAGGGGAGUGAGGCCGAGGAGGGGAGUGAGGCCGAGGCGCUCGAGAAAGACGGCAGCAAGGCUUCUUCACCUUCGGGGCCAGGUAAAAGCACGCAGGAAUCAGGUGAGAAAGCAACCACUCAACUCCAACUUCCAGCUUUACUGCCAUUAGUAUUGUUUCUCUACUACUCUAUAAGCCUGUAGUGUAGGCGUCCACAACUAUGUUCUGCCUCCGCACCCUUCGAUCGCCCGCCGCGUCCGAUUCCCCUGACCCCGCCUCGCCCGCAAUCUCCGCCGCCGCGCCCGCGACAUCCAUCACCCCCGCCCGCGACAUCCCGCCUCGCACGCCAUCAAUUCGCAGCGGCCCUUCUCCGAACGUGGUUUGUUUUUUCGUUUGCUCGAGCAGCCAGCCGACUCGUCUCCAGCAAUGCGGCCGGGGUCGGCUCGCUGGAGGUGGGCGCCGCCGCCGACACCUCCAACGCCUCCAGGCAGGGAUUAGGUGAGCCGUCGGCUAAUCACUCGUCAUUGGGAGGAUCUCCUCCUCCCGUUCAGAUUUGGGCAAGAAAGGCCCGGGCGCGAUGUCCAUGGCCGAGGAGGGGAGUGAGGCCGAGGAGGGGAGUGAGGCUGAGGCGCUCGAGAAAGACGGCAGCAAGGCUUCUUCACCUUCGGGGCCAAGUAAACACCACGGGCAAGGGCGCAAAGCAUCGCGUGUUGUUGUUUCGAGAUGCGUGGGCAUGGCCGUGCUUUCCCUUCCGUUGGGGUCAAGCUGACCGGCCUCGUGUGCCCCGUACUCCCACCGCCGUCCUGCACGCAAAUCCCAAAAAUCAGAUAAAAAGACUGGUUUUUCUCCCCGUUCUCCUUUUCCCCCCACUAAUCGAUUUAGGUUCUUAGUUAGGCGUUCCUGCCGCUCUUCUUCCUCCCGUGUCGUCAGAGGAAGCCGCGAAAAGCAUGCAGGAAUCAGGCGGUCUUGAGGACGAGGAGCUACAGGUGCAGGAUGCAGUUGCCAGUGGUUCCAAGAGGAGCAAAGACUCCGCCGCCGCCGCCACACGCAGCGCCAAUGUCAGCUCGCCCUCUGUGGUUCACUCUCACCCUGCCAUCCUCCCUGCUCCCGCGCAGCAGAUUCCAGAGGUUAAGCAAGCAGAUACCACACAUAUGCAUUCUAUGCCUGCCGCGCGCUUUACGUAGCUAACAAGUUGAAUUCAUCAUCAACAUAUCCAUUGCUCGAGCUUUUCUUCAAGAACCAGCUACCAUAGGGCAAAGUGAAGAAACGGAAGAGUUGAGCAAGAUCACAUUAGAGAAUAAGGAUAUUCAGCUUGAUAUCAAUAUAAGAGAAGAAUCUCGGAGUUCUUCACAACAAGGGAACUUUGACACAGAAGGUACCAGCUCCAGUGAGGCUUUCUUGCUUGGAACGGUAAGGAAUGAACAUAUUUAUUUCAUUCUUCUCAGCCACUAACCAAAUCAGCUCCAGUGAGGUUAGUUUACAGCAAUGUUCUUGUAUGGUUCUCAGGUUGAGUUUUCCAUUUUAUUUAUGUAGCCAAAGUAGAUGUAUUAUGCAUGUCGUCGUUUGGAAACUUGACAAACCGAUUAUACUUGUUUAGGUUGCUUCAGAAAAGAUGCUUGAGAAACUGAAACAUAAAUCUGGAAGAUGUGAGCCUGCUUUAGAAAAGGCUAUUGUGGAACUGGAGCAUGGUAUAAACGGUUUGAAGUACUUUGUUUGCCUUGAUCCACGGUUGCAGGUUUGUUCCGCCACUGAUACCAGGUGAAGCUUCACCCUUCAGAUCCCUGUCGUGACGAAUGGUUCGUGGGUGCUGGGGAGGGAUUGGAUCCGUUGGAUUCAUGAGAUGUGUGGAUUGUUCCUGCCGGAUAUCGUGACAUGUUUUUAGAUCUAGCAGACAAAACCAUGAACUGUCUAGGGCUCCUCCGUUGCCUAGAUCUACUAGAGUGAGUGAGCCUACAGAGUUGACCUCAUCCAGGCUCCAGUUCCACCCCACGGUCAUCGUCCUCUGUUGCUCUACGUUUCAUGCUUCUCACCUCCUCUCCUCAAUCUCAUCACUAGAGGCGGAAAGCAGAUCAGAUGAGAUUUUUGGUCUUGCGUGGUUCUUUUAAUCUGCUCACAUGAUACUUCUUAUUCAUUGCCGUCCAGUGAAAUUAAUUGCCCUCGGUUGAAUUGGUUCCUUUGCCAUUUUACUUAGGAGGAUAAAGGAGACACUACCUUGGUACAUGCCUGUUGCCACAAUGGACAAAAGAAGAUUAGUGUUGUGUGAGAUUUUUUCAUUCCUUUGAUCUAUUGCAUGCUAUUUGUACCCUAAUCGACAAAAUAGAUGAGACUCAAUUCAGGAGCAAAUCACUAGUCCUGUUCACAAUCCAAUUCACUAUGGUUAAAAUAUCAAACUUAUGCUCCUUGAGGUUUGUUUUUUCCUGAUCUUCCUUUAAUAUCUGAUGACUGAUGGACUGGUGAGUUCAUGAUCUGCUUCAUGCUUUUCCUUUUAUAUAUGGUCACUACCUCACUGGUUAGUUCAUGGUCUCUGUGUGUGUGCGUGCGUGUGUGUGUGCGCACGCUUCUGCAUUCAAACUCUUCAACCUUGUGUUUCAACUAAACUCUUGAACAUUCUUACCUUGGCUGGUCAUUUUAUAUGCAGAUAAUUUUAUGUCUGGGCUGAAGGUCGUGUUUGAUCGAGAGAGGAAGGUCUUGGGCUGGAAAAACUUUGAUUGUUACAGCGUGGGCAACUCAAGAAGCAACCUUCCAGUGAACCCAAAUCCUUCUGGUGUUCCCCCUGCCCCUGGCUUGGGACCGAACAGCUACACUCACUCCUGAAGCUACCAAGGGUGCCUCACCGAAUGGCACCCAAGUCAAUGUCUUGCAACCUUCUGCAAGUUUUUCGCCGAAGCUGCAUUGCAACAGAAACGUCCUCGUCAUCGCUGCUCUGCUGUUCCUCGUAAUCCUUUGAUCACCUCAACUCCCCAUGACAAUCUUUUCAAAAACCAAAUCAACAGAUAUGAUUGAUUUUAGUUAAAACUUGGUUUACCAUGUAUUGAGUUACGUAUAGUGCGAUAGUAUCACAUUCUUUUGGCUUGUGUCUACAGUUCCAGUAGGAGUUAGGAUAGAACACAGGAUGAGUCCAUAGCCCUUUUUUUGCACGUUCAUAAUGUACUCAUAAUGUACCUGGUGGGUGUACUGUGUACAUAUUAGAUAUGACUUCAGGAUGUAUUGAUUUUAUAAGAUAAUUGAAUAAUGAUGCUCGCAUACACAGAUAUAUAUACUUCACAUAUGCUCACGUGUACCACCAUCGUCAUCUGUCAUGUUUUUAAUACAGUCAAGAGGCAUGGACCUUCGGCGAAAAUUUCCAGAUACCCGUACUCUUUUCAUAUGGCAUAACACACUAGCAUUAAGUCUUAUGAGAGACCUUGCUAAAGAAUUAGUGCUUGGAGGGGAAGAAUGACCUAGAACUGAAGAUGGAUGAGCUGAUGUGAAAAAUGAGGGGAAGAAUGACCUAGAACUGAAGAUGGAGGAGCUCAGGUGAAAAAUGAACUUGUUCAUUGUGUGUUUUCUGACCUUUUUUGGAAUUGUAUUAAAAUAUACUGUAAUGAAUUGGUGUAAGAAUGUGUUGGAAGUAGCAAAGAACCUGAUGCCUUUUGCAAUGAGAAUGUCUUUCUGGCAAUUUAUCCUGA